rnacentral:rRNA from 1 species
GACGAACGCUGGCGGCGUGCUUAACACAUGCAAGUCGAACGGAAAGGCCCUGCUUUUGUGGGGUGCUCGAGUGGCGAACGGGUGAGUAACACGUGAGUAACCUGCCCUUGACUUUGGGGUAACUUCAGGAAACUGGGGCUAAUAUCGGAGAUGAGCUCCUGCUGCACGGUGGGGGUUGGAAAGUUUCGGCGUUAGGGUAUGGACUCGCGGGUUAUCCGCUGGUUGGUGGGGUUGUGGCUUUCCAGGGCUUCGAAGGGUAGCCGGCCUGAGAGGGUGGCCAGCGUCAUGGGGACUGAGAUACGCCGCAGAAUCGAACGGGCGGCAACAGUGGGGAAUAUGGCACAAUGGGCGGAAGCCUGAGGCAGCAACCCCGCGUGCGGGAUGACGGCCUUCGGGUGGUAAACAGCUUUCGCCUUUGACGAAGCGUGAGUGACGGUAAUGGGUAAAGAAGCACCGGCUAACUACGUG